UAAGCGGAGGAAAAGAAACCAACAGGGAUUGCCCCAGUAACGGCGAGUGAAGCGGCAACAGCUCAAAUUUGAAAUCUGGCCCUUUCGGGUCCGAGUUGUAAUUUGUAGAGGAUGCUUUUGGCAAGGCGCCGCCCGAGUUCCCUGGAACGGGACGCCACAGAGGGUGAGAGCCCCGUCUGGCUGGCCGCCGAGCCUCUGUAAAGCUCCUUCGACGAGUCGAGUAGUUUGGGAAUGCUGCUCAAAAUGGGAGGUAUAUGUCUUCUAAAGCUAAAUAUUGGCCAGAGACCGAUAGCGCACAAGUAGAGUGAUCGAAAGAUGAAAAGCACCUUGAAAAGAGGGUUAAAUAGUACGUGAAAUUGUUGAAAGGGAAGCGCUUGUGACCAGACUUGGGCGCGGCGGAUCAUCCGGGGUUCUCCCCGGUGCACUUCGCCGUGUCCAGGCCAGCAUCAGUUCGUCGCGGGGGAAAAAGGCUUCGGGAACGUGGCUCCCCUGGGAGUGUUAUAGCCCGUUGCAUAAUACCCUGCGGUGGACUGAGGACCGCGCAUCUGCAAGGAUGCUGGCGUAAUGGUCACCAGCGACCCGUCUUGAAACACGGAC
rnacentral:rRNA from 1 species